rnacentral:lncRNA from 1 species
UGCCAUGAAUAAGUGAAAUUAGGGGUUAAUUUUACUUGCUGGAAAUGUUGCUUUGAUUGUAUAAAUAUGUUAUAUGAAUGUUAAAAUGAUGUUUGAAAGGCUUGGAGUAAAGAAAUUUAACAUGGGAGCUAAAAGUGUAAAUCUGGCAGAAUAGGUUGUACCAGGGCAGCUUGUGUUUACAACGUUAUAACUUAUUGUAUAUAUAUUGAAAUUAGGCCUAAGAGAUACCAAAUGAAAGAUAAGACAAAUAUCGAAAACUUUCAUGAAUUGACCAAAUUCUGAAUCUGUAUGUAAGAUGAUGAAAAUUUCAAGUGAACCUAAACUGGACACAGAGUUAGUGCAUUCGGAACAGAGUCUAUUGAUUAUACCAUAACUAAUUACAUACUCAGUGAAAUUUGUUAAGACCAGUGCCAAAUGAAUCUUAAGAAGUAUACCUAAAACUUUGUAGAAGACAUUUAAGCUUGAAUUUGUAUGGAAAUGUAUGAAUCUGAUAAGUUUUGUGAUACUAUUAACAAGUACCAAUACUGAACUGAUUAAGACCUUAUUGAGCAGCUUGUAAAGAAAAAUUCAUAACUUAAGCUAGGAUGAUCAGAUUUGCAUGAACCAUACCUUGUUGGAAAGAUAAGACAUAAAUAUACAUUUCUUAUGAAGAAACUGAAGUCAAAUUGUAACUCUAAACUGCUUGAAAAGUUUAUGCAAUAUAUGGCAGAAUGUAGUUUUCUAUAUUGAAAUGUUAAGUCAAUAAAGGUUUGCACUAUUUGCCAUGAGUUUUCCAUAUUGUAAACCUUGGCAUAUGAUAUAUGUACUUUGGAAAAAGAAAUCAAAUAGCUUCAAAUUACAUGCAUUUACAUUGAUACAUUGAGUUAAUGAUACUUGGCCCUGGUAAACGUAAUAGGAGUCGAGGUUAGCUUAAGGGUAUGGCAUGCCAUAUAAAUAUACAGAGUUCGCAGUACUGCUACCGA